rnacentral:rRNA from 1 species
GACGAACGCUGGCGGCGUGCUUAACACAUGCAAGUCGAACGGUAAGGCCCUUCGGGGUACACGAGUGGCGAACGGGUGAGUAACGCGUGGGUGAUCUGCCCUGCACUUCGGGAUAAGCCUGGGAAACUGGGUCUAAUACCGGAUAGGACCACUGCCUGCAUGGGUGGUGGUGGAAAGCUUUUGCGGUGUGGGAUGGGCCCGCGGCCUAUCAGCUUGUUGGUGGGGUGAUGGCCUACCAAGGCGACGACGGGUAGCCGGCCUGAGAGGGUGACCGGCCACACGGGGACUGAGAUACGGCCCAGACGCCUACGGGAGGCAGCAGUGGGGAAUAUUGCACAAUGGGCGCAAGCCUGAUGCAGCGACGCCGCGUGAGGGAUGACGGCCUUCGGGUUGUAAACCUCUUUCAGCACCGACGAAGCGCAAGUGACGGUAGGUGCAGAAGAAGGACCGGCCAACUACGUGCCAGCCGCCGCCGUAA